rnacentral:rRNA from 1 species
GACGAACGCUGGCGGCGUGCUUAACACAUGCAAGUCGAACGGAAAGGCCCUGCUUUUGUGGGGUGCUCGAGUGGCGAACGGGUGAGUAACACGUGAGUAACCUGCCCUUGACUUUGGGAUAACUUCAGGAAACUGGGGCUAAUACCGGAUAGGAGCUCCUGCUGCAUGGUGGGGGUUGGAAAGUUUCGGCGGUUGGGGAUGGACUCGCGGCUUAUCAGCUUGUUGGUGGGGUAGUGGCUUACCAAGGCUUUGACGGGUAGCCGGCCUGAGAGGGUGACCGGCCACAUUGGGACUGAGUUACGGCCCAGACUCCUACGGGAGGCAGCAGUGGGGAAUAUUGCACAAUGGGCGGAAGCCGGAUGCAGCAACGCCGCGUGCGGGAUGACGGCCUUCGGGUUGUAAACCGCUUUCGCCUGUGACGAAGCGUGAGUGACGGAAAUGGGUAAAGAAGCACCGGCUAACUACGU